UUUGUUUUCAUUGCAGACGUGUCGCUCAAAAGACGAACAAGGAAAGCUCCAGCCGAGUGAAUACAUUUAUAAACAUUUGAAAUAUGUUAAGCUUGGUGGAUUUUAUGGAACCCCAAACCAAAUUGAGUUUGCUAAAUAUUUUUGAAGAAUGCUUUGACCCUUGAAGAAUUGGUCAUCAAGCAAGAAGUGAAUUUUCAUGUCGAGAAGAGGCAGUCAUGGGAUGAAGGAGAAGGCCAAAUGAUUACUCAGACACGGGAAGAAUUUUACAAAGAAAUAAAUGCUAAUUGUCGACUGAGCAUUCAUUGACAAUUCGAUGGUUUUAAAGAAAAAGAGGCUAGACAAGGGUAGCUAGCAACGCAACGAACAGAAGCCACAGAGUGGGCAUCAAAAGUAAGAAGAGGCAGCAGACUCAGUGGAGGGUCAUCCAAUAGCUGAACUCUAUAAGGCAAGUGAUGAGCUUCUUUGAACAGAUGAUCAGCACAUCUGUUAGCCUCUCGGAAAAUAUGGGAUAGCUGCUGAAUAAAGCCCAACUGCAAAAAAAACUUUAUGCGGGCAACUAAGGAUCGAAAGGCAAUUGUAGGCUCAAGAACUCCAUUUAACAAUUUGCACUGCAGCAAGAUUAUUGCAUUCCACAAUAACAUUAGACAGGACAUGCGUGUGAGCUAACUGGAUGCCAAUGAAGAGAGCCCAUAACUCCACUCCCAGCACCGAAGUAACGCCUACAUUGGCCAAGAAACCCCUCUACCAACGGCCCAAGCUAUCACGAAUUAAACCGCCAACAAAACCACAACCACCCAAAGCCAGAACGGAAGCAUCAGUAUUCAAUUUCAACAUGUUAUUCCUAGGGGGCCACCGGGACACCCAUUGAUUAGUCUUAGGAGCAACUGUAAGCUCAAGGCGAUGCUUCAUAACAUUAUAAUCCUAAGCAAAUUUUUUUGUAGCAUGAAGUAACUCCUCCACAGAUAAACUAUGGCUUUGAAAAAACCAGAAAAGCCCAUUUGUCUUUGCCCUCCAAUGACUUUACUUUUAAUUUAAUUCAAGUAAAAUAAAGAUUAUUUGUGAUUUUCUAAA